CCUUGUGGGUGAGCGAGUGCUGCUUGAGGUGGUGGAUCUGGCUGAACUCCAUGCCGCACUCGGUGCACACGAAUGGGCCGCACAUUCUGGUGCUUGAGCAUGUGGUUCUGCAGCUGGCUGCGGUGAGUGGAAGGACUUGUCACACUCGGGGGCACUGGUACAGGGUGGGGCCCUGGUGGGAGGCCAGGUGGCGCUUGAGCUGGGUCAGGGUGGAGAAGUCCAGGCCGCACUUCGGCACACACGUGGCAGCGGCCACUCUCGUGCUUCACCUCGUGAGCCUUGAGCUCGCUGGGGUAGGCGAAGCCACGGCCUACAGAAGUGGCAGCUGUAGGGCUUGACCUCGGAGUGCAGCAGCAUGUGGCGCUUGAGGUGGCUGGUCUGUGUGAAGGCCUUAUGGCACACCUGGCACUUGUGGGGCCGAGUGCCCUGGUGCGUGAGCAGGUGCGUCUGCAGGUGGCUGGGCUGCUUGAAGAGCUUGCUGCAGUGCGGGCACGAGUGGGGCUUGAUGCCGUUGUGGCCGAGAAUGUGCGUCACCAGGUUGUACUUGGACGUGUAGGACUUCUCGCACAUGCGGCAUUGCCAGCGCUUCUGCCGGUCGCCCGCCUCCACCAGGUAGGAGUCGUCGAUCUGCACAUUGAUGUGUCCAGCCGGUCCAGCUGGGCUUUCUUGUGGCGCCCACGGUGGAGCCUGUGGCAUCUGGCUCAAACUCGCCCACCUCCUGCCACACAAAGCCCUGCUCCAGCUUCACAGGCUCUGGGGAGGCCAUGGUGGGGACCUUGGGAUCACUCAGGGGGGCCAGGUGGGGUGGCUCAAAACCACACUCCGCAGGCAAGGCCUCUGGCCCAGGCAGUGCCAUGCUGGGCUCAGGGAAGCUGUCCCGGCCUGGGUCGGGAAAGUGAGGGUCAUAGGGGGCCACAUCCAGCUCCGUCCUUGGAGUUCGAGGCAGAUGCCGGAGUGUCCGGGGCUUGCGGCUGAAGGUGCUGAGGUCGAUCAUCUUGACGGCGCUGCUCUGCACCAGGGCCUCACAGCCACCCCGGGCUACCUCGGCAGGGACCUCGGGCGGCCCUGCAUCCUUGUCAUCCCCAGGCACGGAGACCUCAUAGACCUCCUGCUCCUCUUCCUCCUCCACCUUCUCGAACUUGACCUUGGGCACCAGCCGCACAGGCGGCCGGGUCUUCCGCCCGGUGUGCUUCUCGAAGGCCGCUUCCACUUCUAGCACCUCCUCCUCCGCUGGCUCCUCCAGGGCCUGCCCGUUGCAGGCCAGCUGGUAGACAUUAGGGCCUGGUGGCCGGGGCUCCCCAUGGCUGCCCCCGACAGCUCAGGCCCUAGGUCUGGGUAGAAGGCUUCGGCGCUUAUGGUGGCUCCGAAGAGCUCAUUUUCUGAGACCAGGCCCAGCACGGCAGCCUGGGCCAAGGACAGCACCACCACGGCAUCUGUCUGUGUCCCUGAGUCCAUGAAGCCCUCCAUCCCUCGGCGGCUGGCUAGGAGGGCAUUGCUGCGAAGGAGAAGGAGAAAGGUCAACGCCUGCUGGCUCAACACGUGGACCUGGUUGGUGACGGGGAUCUGCUUCAAACUCCCAGCACCAGAGACACUGUCCAAAAGCUGCUGAGGACACAGGACACUCAUCAUGACUGGUUUAGUUUGAUGACCACUCCUUGAGGCCCGGGUCUUGCUAGGUCUCUAAGCUCCCCAGGCUGGCCUUCAACUUGUGAUCUUCCUGCCUCAGCCUCCCAAAGGGCUGGGAUUACAGGUAUGUGCCCAGGUCCAGUUCUGCCCUUUGGUCCCUUGAUGGUGGCCUUGAAUCACCAGGAUCUAAUCCUGCAACUGAGCCAUUGAUGAGUGCCCAUCAGGUAGCAGGUGAGUGUACACAACAGGAGC
rnacentral:lncRNA from 1 species